CUCCUCUAUAACUAGCAGGGAGUUCUUGGCAAAAGCAGCAGGAGCUUCAUCGUUGUUUAAGCAACGAUGCCUGAAUGAAUCCAGUCAGCAGAUGUAAAAUGGCAGCCAUUUUAAAAACAUGGACCUAUAAGUUACUUUGCUUUUCUCCUACAUGAACUGAGAAUGGGAGAAACUGAAGGUCACCCAGUCAGUCUGCAACUUGGAACUUAAAUCCAGGCCUCCUCAAUGCCAC